rnacentral:rRNA from 1 species
ACAAGCAGAGGGGGCUUAGUGGUGGGGUGACUGCGUACCUUUUGUAUAAUGGGUCAGCGACUUAUAUUCUGUAGCAAGGUUAACCGAAUAGGGGAGCCGGAGGGAAACCGAGUCUUAAUUGGGCGUUAAGUUGCAGGGUAUAGACCCGAAACCCGGUGAUCUAGCCAUGGGCAGGUUGAAGGUUGGGUAACACUAACUGGAGGACCGAACCGACUAAUGUUGAAAAAUUAGCGGAUGACCUGUGGCUGGGGGUGAAAGGCCAAUCAAACCGGGAGAUAGCUGGUUCUCCCCGAAAGCUAUUUAGGUAGCGCCUCGUGAAUUCAUCUCCGGGGGUAGAGCACUGUUUCGGCUAGGGGGCCAUCCCGGCUUACCAACCCGAUGCAAACUGCGAAUACCGGAGAAUGUUAUCACGGGAGACACACGGCGGGUGCUAACGUCCGUCGUGAAGAGGGAAACAACCCAGACCGCCAGCUAAGGUCCCAAAGUCAUGGUUAAGUGGGAAACGAUGUGGGAAGGCCCAGACAGCCAGGAUGUUGGCUUAGAAGCAGCCAUCAUUUAAAGAAAGCGUAAUAGCUCACUGGUCGAGUCGGCCUGCGCGGAAGAUGUAACGGGGCUAAACCAUGCACCGAAGCUGCGGCAGCGAACGUAUCACCCAAGACAACUUUACGGAGUUGACGAUUGACGGAGCGAAGCGACGUCAAAGCGUUCAUUAAAGUCGAGUUGGCUUAGGGAUACGUUCGUUGGGUAGGGGAGCGUUCUGUAAGCCUGUGAAGGUGUGUCGUGAGGCAUGCUGGAGGUAUCAGAAGUGCGAAUGCUGACAUAAGUAACGAUAAAGCGGGUGAAAAGCCCGCUCGCCGGAAGACCAAGGGUUCCUGUCCAACGUUAAUCGGGGCAGGGUGAGUCGACCCCUAAGGCGAGGCCGAAAGGCGUAGUCGAUGGGAAACGGGUUAAUAUUCCCGUACUUGGUGUUACUGCGAAGGGGGGACGGAGAAGGCUAUGUUGGCCGGGCGACGGUUGUCCCGGUUUAAGCGUGUAGGUGUGUGUUCCAGGUAAAUCCGGUUCACUUUAACACUGAGGCGUGACGACGAGGCACUACGGUGCUGAAGCAACAAAUGCCCUGCUUCCAGGAAAAGCCUCUAAGCAUCAGGUAACAUCAAAUCGUACCCCAAACCGACACAGGUGGUCAGGUAGAGAAUACCAAGGCGCUUGAGAGAACUCGGGUGAAGGAACUAGGCAAAAUGGUGCCGUAACUUCGGGAGAAGGCACGCUGACACGUAGGUGAAGUGAUUUACUCAUGGAGCUGAAGUCAGUCGAAGAUACCAGCUGGCUGCAACUGUUUAUUAAAAACACAGCACUGUGCAAACACGAAAGUGGACGUAUACGGUGUGACGCCUGCCCGGUGCCGGAAGGUUAAUUGAUGGGGUCAGCG